GACGAACGCUGGCGGCGUGCCUAAUACAUGCAAGUAGAACGCCGUUGCUACCGGGUGAGUAACGCGUAGGUCACUUCCUCAUAUCGGGGGAUAACUAUUGGAAACUAUCGCUAAUACCGCAUACUGUGAUAUUGACCUGCGUUGUAUUAGCUAGUUGGGGAGUUAAAGGCUCACCAAGGCGACGAUACAUAGCCGACCUGGGAGGGUGAGGGGCCACAAUGGGACUGAGACACGGCCCAGAGUACGACGGGAGGCAGCAGUAGGGAAUCUUAGGCAAUGGACGGAAGGCUGACCGAGCAACGACGCGUGAGUGAAGAAGGGGUUCGGAGCGUAAAGCUCGGUUGUUAGAGAAGCGGGAACUAACCAGAAAGGGACGGCUAACUACGUGCCAGCAGCCGCGGUAAUAC
rnacentral:rRNA from 1 species